rnacentral:rRNA from 1 species
GUGAACGCUGGCGGUAUGGAUAAGGCAUGCAAGUCGAAUGGGUUAGACCCAUGGCAGACGAGGUAGUAACAGGUAGGAACGUCCCCGGAAGUCGGGCAUAACCAGCCGAAAGGUUGGAUAAUUCCCGAUGGUCUCGCAAGAGUAAAGAUUUAUCGCUUCCGGAGCGGCCUGCCUUGUAUCAGCUAGUUGGUGAGGUAAUGGCUCACCAAGGCUACGACGCAUAGGGGACCUGAGAGGGUGACCCCCACCGAUGAGACUGAGACACGGCUCAUACCCCUACGGGGGGCCGCAGCCGAGAAUAUUCGACAAUGGGCGCAAGCCUGAUCGAGCGAUACCGCGUGGUGGAUGAAGCGCUUCGGCGCGUAAACACCUUUUAUGGAGGAGGAAGUCAUUGACGUUACUCCAUGAAUAAGGGGCUCCUAACUCUGU